CUGGGUGAUCCCUGCCUGCCGCACUCACAGUCUGCUGUUUACAGUCCCGAAUGCAUCCAGUGGAAUGGUCCUCCCCAUCUGCAGCAUCUGGUGCAAUGUAGGAGACCCUUCAGCUUCCUCUGGACUGUUUUUCUUUUCUGUUUGUGUCCAUCUUCCUUGAUCAAACUCCAGAAGGCAUAUCCCCAAUAGUUUUCUCCAUUGUGGAGGACCUCUUCCAUAUUUUAUGUGCUAGGAUUGUGAUAUUCUGUUAUGGCAGCCCUAGCAGAUGAAUAAUACAGGUAGAAUGGUCCUCAGGUGGUCUGAAGCAGGAGAUACGGCACUUAUGGUGCUCUCUGAUGAAGCCUGAGUCAAUGGAGGAGCCCGCAGCUGCCGGGUCACUUGGUUUCAGGUUUGUGAGAGUCAGCUGAGGGACAAGAGCUCCGGGAACUUUGAAGGCACCCUCUCGAGAAAGCGUUUUCUGUCUUAAAUAUUUUCCUGCACAGGUCUGAAAUUGUAUCAGUAGAAAUUCAUGUGGGGGUCUUGAUGCCUUCUUUAGUUUUCAGCAAUCUCAUGAUAGAAUGAGAAUGUACCUGGUCACCAGGACGCUGUUGAUAGGCUGAGAAUGUGGGGUGUGGUUUCUGGAAAAGGACUGCAGGGAAGCCGGCAGUGAAGGACAGAUGGGCCAGAUCUUUAGGUUCUCUCCCUUCCAGCUUUGCCCAGGACCAGCCUGGAUGAGCUUCUCAUGGGGCUUACAGAAAGAAGGGUGUUUUGGUUCUUCCUUGAAGGCUCAGCUCUGAAGCAGAGAAGCUGACAUUAAAAUGGUGCAUGUAACAGAAAUGUGGCCUUGGAGAACCCCCAGAGGAGUUCCAGAUCAGAUCAGCUGUCUUUCAUUAAUCAGAAAUGGGCUGUAGUUCACUCCUCUAUUUGGAACAUGUCUAGCCUUCCAUCAAAAUGGCAGAAUGAGAGAAGAAUCAGUAGAGCUACAUUUUCUUGGCACUCCAAAAUGUGGAUUUCAAAACUGUUAGUUCAGAAGUGUUCAACUUUUGCUGCCCACUGGAAUUAUCUGGAGAGCUGCAAAAGGACACUGAUGCCUGGGCUGCACCUCCUAGAGGUCUUGAUUUGAUCAAUCCAAAGGAAGGCCUGGGCAGUAAAUUUUUAAAAGUUCCACAGCAUUUCUGAUGGCCUCACGGAUCAGGAGUCUGCAAGACCACCCUCAGGCUUCAUGCACUAAAAGGACUCACAGGACUCAGAAAAAGCUGUCAUACUCAUGUUUGUGGUUUAUUAGAGUGAAAGACUACAGAUUAGAGUCAGCAAAAGGAAAAGGUGGGUAGGGCAGAGUCUAGGAGAAACAGGACACAAGCUUCCAGUUGGCUUCUCCCAAAGGUGUUGCAUGAACAGCACUUAAUUAUCUUAGCAACAAUGUAACACACAUGUAAAUUUUUGCAUCCUAUGAAUCUCAUCUGAGCCUUGGUGUCCAAGGAUUUUUAUUGGGGUUAGUGACAAAGGCAUGCAGCGGCUAUGGGACAACAUUAACUACUCAGUCUCCAGCCCCCAGAGGUCAGUGUGGUUCAACAACUGAUGCAGUGCGGUUCAACAACUUAGACGACAAAAACACUCCUGGCAGGCAGGAGAUUUCAAGAGAGCUCAGAGGUCACCUCCUGGAUGUCAGCCAAGGACCAGUCCUUUUUUUUUUGAAUGUGCAGGGUUUGAGUAACCCAAGACUGCUGUGUUAACCUUUUUCUGGACACCUAUAUACAUAUAUUUGUCUGUUCUUUGGAUUCUCCAUUGAACUGGGUAUUGCUGUUACUGUUUUUGCCUUCCUAGUUCCUCAUUAAUGGGCUAAAAUAAAUCUUUGACACGUUUAUGUUUGCAUAUGAGUCAUGAUUUUACUUUGUUUUUGUUUGUUUGUUUGUUUGU
rnacentral:lncRNA from 10 species